rnacentral:rRNA from 1 species
AUGGACAUGGACUCCCCGCAGAAGAAGCUUGGAUCCGUGGACGGCGGCAAGACGCCUCCUCUGCUGCUUGCGGCCCAGCUGGCCAAGAAGGCGAUAGCCGCUUCUCCGUUCCCGGACGCACACCCGAUGGCCAGCGCUUGGGCGUUCGUCACCGCCUGGUUCUUCCCCGUCUCCAUCGUCUUGGGCUCCGCCAUCGACCUUCUACUCUGCAGCCAGCUGCUGUGGUGCCUACUGGAGCGCGAGGGGGGCACGCCCAUAGACAGUGCCCUCUGGAUCGCGCUGUGGUGCUGCCCCGCACUCCAGGCGGUCGUGGCGGCGCUGGCUCUGCUGCUCCCGUCCCGCCACCGCCGGAUCCGCCGUGCCCUUGCCUACCUCGCGGUCUCGGUCGCCAUCGUCGGCCAUUCUUUGAUGGCCAGCCUCAUCCCCCUCUCUGUCGCUGCCCAUCCAGGGACAGGGCUAGGAUACCUCCUGCUCAUCGUCUUGUUCAUCUGCGCCGCGGCGGCGCUGGCGCAGCUGCUCCCGUGCCUCCUGAUGGGGUUAUGUACCUAG